rnacentral:rRNA from 1 species
AACUUGAGAGUUUGAUCAUGGCUCAGAACGUACGCUGGCGGCACGCCUAACACAUGCAAGUCGAACGAAGUAGCAAUACUUAGUGGCAGACGGGUGAGUAACAUGUAGGUAUCUGCCCUUUGGCCUGGAAUAACACGAGGAAACUUGUGCUAAUACCGGAUAAGUCUUUACAGAGAAAGCUUUAUGCACCAUUGGAUGAGCCUGCACUUGAUUAGUUUGUUGGUGGGGUAAUGGCCUACCAAGACUGUGAUCAAUAGCUGAUUUGAGAGGAUGAUCAGCCACAUUGGGACUGAGACACGGCCCAAACUCCUACGGGAGGCAGCAGUGGGGAAUCUUGCACAAUGGAGGAAACUCUGAUGCAGCGAUGCCGCGUGAGUGAAGAAGGCCUUUGGGUUGUAAAGCUCUUUCGUCGGGGAAGAAAAUGACUGUACCCGAAUAAGAAGGUCCGGCUAACUUCGUGCCAGCAGCCGCGGUAAUACGAAGGGACCUAGCGUAGUUCGGAAUUACUGGGCUUAAAGAGUUCGUAGGUGGUUGAAAAAGUUAGUGGUGAAAUCCCAGAGCUUAACUCUGGAACUGCCAUUAAAACUUUUCAGCUAGAGUAUGAUAGAGGAAAGCAGAAUUUCUAGUGUAGAGGUGAAAUUCGUAGAUAUUAGAAAGAAUACCAAUUGCGAAGGCAGCUUUCUGGAUCAUUACUGACACUGAGGAACGAAAGCAUGGGUAGCGAAGAGGAUUAGAUACCCUCGUAGUCCAUGCCGUAAACGAUGUGUGUUAGACGUUGGAAAUUUAUUUUCAGUGUCGCAGCGAAAGCGAUAAACACACCGCCUGGGGAGUACGACCGCAAGGUUAAAACUCAAAUGAAUUGACGGGGACCCGCACAAGUAGUGGAGCAUGUGGUUUAAUUCGAAGAUACGCGCAGAACCUUACCAACACUUGACAUGUUCGUCGCGACUCUAAGAGAUUAGAGUUUUCGGUUCGGCCGGACGAAACACAGGUGCUGCAUGGCUGUCGUCAGCUCGUGUCGUGAGAUGUUGGGUUAAGUCCCGCAACGAGCGCAACCCUCACUUUUAGUUGCCAUCAUUAGGUUGGGCACUCUGAAAGAACUGCCAGUGAUAAGCUGGAGGAAGGUGGGGAUGACGUCAAGUCCUCAUGGCCCUUACGUGUUGGGCUACACACGUGCUACAAUGGUAUCUACAACAGGAAGCAAGACUGCGAGGUCAAGCAAAUCCCUAAAAGAUACCUCAGUUCGGAUUGCACUCUGCAACUCGAGUGCAUGAAGCUGGAAUUACUAGUAAUCGUGGAUCAGCGUGCCACGGUGAAUGCGUUCCCGGGUCUUGUACACACCGCCCGUCACACCAUGGGAGUUGGUUCUACCUUAAGGCAAGGUUUCAAACCCUUGACCACGGUAUAGUCAGCGACUGGGGUGAAGUCGUAACAAGGUAGCCGUAGGGGAACCUGCGGCUGGAUUACCUCCUUUCUAA